ACAUAAAGGCCACCGGUUUGAACCGGUGCCCUUGUGAACCGGUUUAUAUUUUAAAAAAAAGCGGUUCCUUCUCCUCAUUCCCCAACCCUAAUUCUUCAUUCCCUUUCUCUCGUCGUUUCUCUCUCCUCCCCUCCUCCUUCCUUCUCCUACUCCCCUAACUCCUCCUUCUCUUACUCUAUCUUUCUCUUUCUCGAUUUCCUUCUCCCUCACCUCCUUCUCCCUCACCUCCUUCUCCACCACGAAGCUAAAAACAACACUUUCACCACCACGAAGUGCUCCUUCUUUCUUUGAUUCGAAGACCAAAACUUUCACCACCACCACCACGAAGAACAACACUUUCACCACCACAUGCAACACCAUUUUAAUCAAAGACCACCACCAAUUCGAGGUAUAUUGAUGCAAGAAUCAAGAUGCAAGUUUUAUUGUGAUGUUGUAAUUUUUUUUUUUUAUUUAUACUGUAAUUUUUCCUUUUUGUAUUUAUACUUAAUUUUUUUUUUGGAUUUAUAUGUUGUAAACUUGUAAUUUAUCUAUAUUGGUUGAUAUUCGAUUUACAUUUUGUGUUCGAUUUGCAUUUUGUGUUCGAUUUGCAUUUUGUGUUCUAUGUAUAUUAAUCUGUACAAUAAAAUUACUAGAUUCAUAUACUUUAA